GAUGAACGCUGGCGGCGUGCCUAAUACAUGCAAGUAGAACGCUGAAGGAGGAGCUUGCUCUUCUGGAUGAGUUGCGAACGGGUGAGUAACGCGUAGGUAACCUGCCUGGUAGCGGGGGAUAACUAUUGGAAACGAUAGCUAAUACCGCAUGACAACAGUUAUUGCAUGAUAACUGUUUAAAAGGGGCAACUGCUCCACUACCAGAUGGACCUGCGUUGUAUUAGCUAGUUGGUGAGGUAACGGCUCACCAAGGCGACGAUACAUAGCCGACCUGAGAGGGUGAUCGGCCACACUGGGACUGAGACACGGCCCAGACUCCUACGGGAGGCAGCAGUAGGGAAUCUUCGGCAAUGGACGGAAGUCUGACCGAGCAACGCCGCGUGAGUGAAGAAGGGUGUCGGAUCGUAAAGCUCUGUUGUAAGAGAAGAACGAGUGUGAGAGUGGAAAGUUCACACUGUGACGGUAUCUGACCAGAAAGGGACGGCUAACUACGUG
rnacentral:rRNA from 1 species